UAAUUGAAGAGUUUGAUCAUGGCUCAGAUUGAACGCUGGCGGCAGGCCUAACACAUGCAAGUCGAGCGGUAACAGGGGGAGCUUGCUUCCCGCUGACGAGCGGCGGACGGGUGAGUAAUGUAUGGGGAUCUGCCCGAUAGAGGGGGAUAACCACUGGAAACGGUGGCUAAUACCGCAUAAUCUCUUAGGAGCAAAGCAGGGGAACUUCGGUCCUUGCGCUAUCGGAUGAACCCAUAUGGGAUUAGCUAGUAGGUG
rnacentral:rRNA from 1 species